rnacentral:miRNA from 1 species
AAGUCGGACCGAGCGCAAUGUU